UCCAGACUCCUACGGGAGGCAGCAGUGGGGAAUAUUGGACAAUGGGGGGAACCCUGAUCCAGCGACGCCGCGUGAGUGAAGAAGUAUUUCGGUAUGUAAAGCUCUCUCAGCAGGGAAGAAAGGAAUGACGGUACCUGACUAAGAAGCCCCGGCUAACUACGUGCCAGCAGCCGCGGUAAUACGGAGGAUGCGAGCGUUAUCCGGAUUUAUUGGGUUUAAAGGGUGCGUAGGCGGACUGUUAAGUCAGCGGUAAAACCCCGGGCCCCACCCCGGGGGAGCCGUUGAAACUGGCUGUCUUGAGAUGUCGAGAGGUAUGCGGAAUGCGCAGUGUAGCGGUGAAAUGCUUAGAUAUUGCGCAGAACUCCGAUUGCGAAGGCAGCAUACCGGCGGCGAUCUGACGCUGAGGCACGAAAGCGUGGGUAUCGAACAGGAUUAGAUACCCGAGUAC
rnacentral:rRNA from 1 species